rnacentral:rRNA from 1 species
GGGUUGUGAGGUUAAGCGACUAAGCGUACACGGUGGAUGCCCUGGCAGUCAGAGGCGAUGAAGGACGUGCUAAUCUGCGAAAAGCGUCGGUAAGGUGAUAUGAACCGUUAUAGCCGGCGAUGUCCGAAUGGGGAAACCCAGUGCAAUUCGUUGCACUAUCGUUAACUGAAUACAUAGGUUAACGAGGCGAACCGGGGGAACUGAAACAUCUAAGUACCCCGAGGAAAAGAAAUCAACCGAGAUUCCCCCAGUAGCGGCGAGCGAACGGGGAGCAGCCCAGAGUCUGAAUCAGCUUGUGUGUUAGUGGAACGGUCUGGAAAGUCCGACGGUACAGGGUGAUAGUCCCGUACACCAAAAUGCACAGGCUGUGAACUCGAAGAGUAGGGCGGGACACGUGGUAUCCUGUCUGAAUAUGGGGGGACCAUCCUCCAAGGCUAAAUACUCCUGACUGACCGAUAGUGAACCAGUACCGUGAGGGAAAGGCGAAAAGAACCCCGGCGAGGGGAGUGAAAAAGAACCUGAAACCGUGUACGUACAAGCAGUGGGAGCACCUUCGGGUGUGACUGCGUACCUUUUGUAUAAUGGGUCAGCGACUUAUAUUCUGUAGCAAGGUUAACCGUAUAGGGGAGCCGCAGGGAAACCGAGUCUUAACUGGGCGUUAAGUUGCAGGGUAUAGACCCGAAACCCGGUGAUCUAGCCAUGGGCAGGUUGAAGGUUGGGUAACACUAACUGGAGGACCGAACCGACUAAUGUUGAAAAAUUAGCGGAUGACUUGUGGCUGGGGGUGAAAGGCCAAUCAAACCGGGAGAUAGCUGGUUCUCCCCGAAAGCUAUUUAGGUAGCGCCUCGUGAACUCAUCUUCGGGGGUAGAGCACUGUUUCGGCUAGGGGGUCAUCCCGACUUACCAACCCGAUGCAAACUACGAAUACCGAAGAAUGUUAUCACGGGAGACACACGGCGGGUGCUAACGUCCGUCGUGAAGAGGGAAACAACCCAGACCGCCAGCUAAGGUCCCAAAGUCAUGGUUAAGUGGGAAACGAUGUGGGAAGGCACAGACAGCCAGGAUGUUGGCUUAGAAGCAGCCAUCAUUUAAAGAAAGCGUAAUAGCUCACUGGUCGAGUCGGCCUGCGCGGAAGAUGUAACGGGGCUAAACCAUGCACCGAAGCUGCGGCAGCGACACUAUGUGUUGUUGGGUAGGGGAGCGUUCUGUAAGCCUGCGAAGGUGACCUGUGAGGGUUGCUGGAGGUAUCAGAAGUGCGAAUGCUGACAUAAGUAACGAUAAAGCGGGUGAAAAGCCCGCUCGCCGGAAGACCAAGGGUUCCUGUCCAACGUUAAUCGGGGCAGGGUGAGUCGACCCCUAAGGCGAGGCCGAAAGGCGUAGUCGAUGGGAAACAGGUUAAUAUUCCUGUACUUGGUGUUACUGCGAAGGGGGGACGGAGAAGGCUAUGUUAGCCGGGCGACGGUUGUCCCGGUUUAAGCAUGUAGGCUGGUUGUCCAGGCAAAUCCGGAUAAUCAAGGCUGAGGUGUGAUGACGAGGCACUACGGUGCUGAAGUAACAAAUGCCCUGCUUCCAGGAAAAGCCUCUAAGCAUCAGGUAACAUUAAAUCGUACCCCAAACCGACACAGGUGGUCAGGUAGAGAAUACCAAGGCGCUUGAGAGAACUCGGGUGAAGGAACUAGGCAAAAUGGUGCCGUAACUUCGGGAGAAGGCACGCUGGUGUGUAGGUGAAGUCCCUGCGGAUGGAGCUGAGACCAGUCGAAGAUACCAGCUGGCUGCAACUGUUUAUUAAAAACACAGCACUGUGCAAACACGAAAGUGGACGUAUACGGUGUGACGCCUGCCCGGUGCCGGAAGGUUAAUUGAUGGGGUUAUCCGUAAGGAGAAGCUCUUGAUCGAAGCCCCGGUAAACGGCGGCCGUAACUAUAACGGUCCUAAGGUAGCGAAAUUCCUUGUCGGGUAAGUUCCGACCUGCACGAAUGGCGUAAUGAUGGCCAGGCUGUCUCCACCCGAGACUCAGUGAAAUUGAACUCGCUGUGAAGAUGCAGUGUACCCGCGGCAAGACGGAAAGACCCCGUGAACCUUUACUAUAGCUUGACACUGAACAUUGAGCCUUGAUGUGUAGGAUAGGUGGGAGGCUUUGAAGCGUGGACGCCAGUCUGCGUGGAGCCAACCUUGAAAUACCACCCUUUAAUGUUUGAUGUUCUAACGUUGGCCCCUUACCGGGGUUGCGGACAGUGUCUGGUGGGUAGUUUGACUGGGGCGGUCUCCUCCCAAAGCGUAACGGAGGAGCACGAAGGUUAGCUAAUCCUGGUCGGACAUCAGGAGGUUAGUGCAAUGGCAUAAGCUAGCUUGACUGCGAGCGUGACGGCGCGAGCAGGUGCGAAAGCAGGUCAUAGUGAUCCGGUGGUUCUGAAUGGAAGGGCCAUCGCUCAACGGAUAAAAGGUACUCCGGGGAUAACAGGCUGAUACCGCCCAAGAGUUCAUAUCGACGGCGGUGUUUGGCACCUCGAUGUCGGCUCAUCACAUCCUGGGGCUGAAGUAGGUCCCAAGGGUAUGGCUGUUCGCCAUUUAAAGUGGUACGCGAGCUGGGUUUAGAACGUCGUGAGACAGUUCGGUCCCUAUCUGCCGUGGGCGCUGGAGAAUUGAGGGGGGCUGCUCCUAGUACGAGAGGACCGGAGUGGACGCAUCACUGGUGUUCGGGUUGUCAUGCCAAUGGCACUGCCCGGUAGCUAAAUGCGGAAGAGAUAAGUGCUGAAAGCAUCUAAGCACGAAACUUGCCCCGAGAUGAGUUCUCCCUGAGACUUUAAGUCUCCUGAAGGAACGUUGAAGACGACGACGUUGAUAGGCCGGGUGUGUAAGCGCAGCGAUGCGUUGAGCUAACCGGUACUAAUGAACCGUGAGGCUUAACCUUACAACGCCGAAG